rnacentral:lncRNA from 1 species
AAACAACGGCAUUGGCGCAGACGCUUGGUGACCUUCACGUUGUUCCUCCAAGGCAGGCCAUGAGUGAUGGCAGCCGUGAGGUCAGCGUUGCUAGGAAAUAGGGAAAGGCUGCUGCCAAUUAUGCAAGAUACACACAUAGUUUGUGUUUGCUGUUUACAUGUCAGUUUUUUACCAUUUGAACUGUCUUUUAUAGACUGUAUAGUUCACAAAAAAGAAACUUUCGAUAAAGCAUAUAUGGGUUUGCAGUAGACCAUUCUAGACCAUAUUUCUUGAAUACAUAGUUUAUAGUAUUUUCUGGUUUUAAAUAUAUGAGAUUGCCCAUCUUAGUUAGUGGCACUGCUAUGCUUCACAGUAUACAAUGCUUGCAUGCCAAUAUAAUCAUAAGUGUUUUUUCGUUUUCAGGUGUUCUUAAUAUGGUGGGUGAUUGAAGCGAAAGCAUGAGGAGCAGUUCAAAGGGCGGAUGGAGCAUGUGACUUGUGUGGAAAUAACAAAUUUUCUUUUAGAUGAUUUGAGUGUAUGCUGAUGCGUGAAAGUCAAUCAUUUGGAUUCCCAACUAGCCUAUUGUGUGUGUUCAAUAUUUUGUUGCGCAUUGACAAAAUGUUUUCAGUGCCCGAGUGCGCAAGUUGAAUUUUGAAACAUAUGAGAGGAUAACCCUGCAAAAGGGAAUUUGCCCUUUAUGAAGGUUCGGGCUUGCUGUUGUAAUUAAAAGUAGGAGAUUUAUAUAUACCUAUAAUAGAAUAAUUCCUCAAGCUAAAGGCUUCUGUAACAUGUAACAUAUGAACUUUGUUUGUGCUAAUAAUUUUCCAGCCAUAGUAAAAGGCUAUGUUGCACAGGUA